CUGGGCCCAGAUUCACUAACGCCUCGCAGAUACGACAAUCUUAAGUGGAUCCAAUAUGGCGGAAAUAAGAAUGUCGUAUCUUGCGAUUCCCAAAAGAAUCUUAAGUCCGCCAUGUUUAGAUUUUCCUGCCUUAACGCUGUUUCACACUCCCGCCGACAGACGGCGUAGUAUGAUGUUGACAUAUUUCGUUCAACCAAUGGCAGCGCUCGAUACAUACGUACUCUAGAGACAGUAGCCAAUCACAGGAAGCUCAACACCAGUGCAGCACGUGGCCCGUGACAGAGGCAGACGAUGUUGUCUGCCCCACCGGGAGUACGGAGAUGAAGUGAGGAAGUUCAGGAGACUGAGUGUAACCUGUAAGUGUAGUGGGUGCUACAACACCUAGCAGCCCAUAUGUCCCAGCAGUGGUGCAGCGUUGGACCCUUAAACUUCCAGGCAGGAGACACAAGAUGGACACAAGAUAAAAGAUUCUGAAGAAGCAAGACCAAGCAUAUAUUACUGGAUAGUUUGCAGAAAUGUGUAGAUUUCCUUGAAUCGUCUCAACCAGAAUGACCGCAAUAGCUGGACCUUUACAGGACUUUGUUGAAUAUUGCAGGGCAUGAAAUUCUGUAUUUCUUAUGCAUCACUAAAGGUCUCUUUUGAUUUCUUCAAACAUGUUUUGUAUUUGCAAUUUAUUUAAUUGUUUUCUGUUGGAAAUAACAUAUAAAAAGAUGUUUAAUAGCAAGCUGUGAAGAAUUGCUCCAAAUAGUACACACCACGGUGCUAUAUGCUUUACAUUUUAUUAAGAGUAUAAUAAGCUCAGCCAUAUUGUCCUGCAGUUAAUUUUUAGUCAGAUAAUUUCUCCCCUUUUUUUACAAUUUAAGUUGUGAUUGUGUUCAUGUAUACCAGCAGCUCUUUCUUUAAUUAUAUUAGUAAAGAAGUUGUUAUUAUAUAUAUGAAGUCAGA